rnacentral:rRNA from 1 species
GCGGCUGCACCACUAGGAUACCCUGAUCCAACAUCGAGGUCGUAAGCCCACCUGUCGAUAGGAGCUCUUGAGGUGGAUUGCGCUGUUAUCCCUAGGGUAACUUGGUUCGUUGAUCAAAAUAUUGGGUCAAUUUAUGUCAAUUUAUUGGUGCUUGAAGUUGUAGCUUUUUGCUCAGAAGUGGCUUCUUUCAAUGUGGAGGUUAAUUUUUGCUCCGCGGUCACCCCAACCUAAAACUAAUAGUCAUGUGUGCUGGAAUAGGUGUUAUGAUUCUGAAAUAUAUUGGUAUAUAAGCUAUUGCUAUUUAGUUUGAAGCUCCAUAGGGUCUUCUCGUCUUAUAAAAUAAUCCCCGCUUCUUCACGGGGAGAUCAGUUUCAUUGAUUAGAAAAAGGAGACAGUAUAACCCUCGUGGUGCCAUUCAUACUAGUCCUCAUUUAAAGAACAAGUGAUUACGCUACCUUCGCACGGUUAGGAUACCGCGGCCGUUGAACUCAGUCACUGGGCAGGCUGGACCUCUUAUAUUUAGGCAAGAGGCGAUGUUUUUGGUAAACAGGCGAGGUUAAUGUUUGCCGAGUUCCUUCUUUUUCUUUUAAUCUUUCUUGAGAUGUUCUGGUGUUAGAUUAACGUUGGUUAAAACAGGGUUUUCUAGUGGGGUUGCUGUUUUAAGUUCAUUAGCAUUAAUUAUCAGUGGUUAGUCCUUUCUGAUUUACACUUACAUCUAAGAGAAGGCCAUCUUCUUAUUACUAGUUUUAACAUAAUUGCUUCUAUAGGUUUAUAGAAUAGCUUAAUAUAAAUAAAGGG